GAGGUGGCCAUCAUUGACCAGAAGUCAUCACAGGGACCAGAGGUAGUGGUUGUGGGCUAUUGCAACAUGGUUCCUUCUAAAUGUCUAAAAUACCCGUGACGGAGGCCUGACACUGAGAUAAGGGUAUGGUAUCUGUGUCUGACAUAAUUAGUUGGAUAAUCACCUAGUAAGCAUACUAUGAACAUUACGAAAGAGAAUGUCAGAUAUCUCAUCCGUGAUUUGACUCACAUAUUGUAUACUUGAUAUUGUGAUCCAUAGUUUUUAUCCAAUCCUAGAUGAGUCUAUAUCCCACUUCACUGCAGGAAUGAGUAAAUAUUGCACAUUGGAGAUAGUGUUCAACAAACUAUCAUCGUCAAAUACGCAACCAAAUGUUGGAUACAUGGGUCAAUCAGAUAACUAAUCCAAUCCCAACUAUUCUUAUCCAGCAACCAAAGUUACUUUAGGGGAGUUGCGGGUUGAGCGUUAGCUACAGUGUACUGUGUACAAUCUUUCAUUUUGGUCAUAGUUGCUUUUUUACAACCAACUAUUACACUUCUAGUCAAUAAAUAUUUGAUAUAAUAUUGGAUUGGUGCAUUAGCACACUUAAUAAGAAAUACAUUUAGGAGAGCUUCUAAACGAACAACAUAUAGAAAGAAGUUCCCAAAUUACCUGCCCUAAUGUGAUGUUUCAAAUGAUGGUAAAAAGAAAAAUUGCUCGGGUAUAUAUAAGAACUUCAGUUGCAAAAAGAGUUAUAUGCUCUAGUGCAUUGUAUGUUGAUCUCUUGAAAUAAACACGUUUUAAUAAAUUCAUUUUGUUUUUGAACAGCAAAAGAAAGCAUCUUUUAAUAAUGUAGUGUACAGAAGCCUACUACUACCUAAAUUUCGGUAAUGUGAUGUGCCAUGCCCUUGUUACAGUUGCUUGUACCAGAACAAUCAGCAUUCCAGAUAAUAUAGCUCGGAACAUGUUUGGUCUUCCAUGCUAGAAACUUUAUUCGUUCAUAUUUGCGUUCAUCUCUGUAGGUAAUUGUCAUAUUGAUAACAAUAGGUACGGCUAGCAAUAAGUAUGGCCCUGCAACACCUAUGAAUGGUUGUGGAUUGCAGCACAUGUGGUGGCGAAUGAUGGUAGUGAUGGUGGCAAUAAUGAUUCUUAAUAAAUAAAAUAAAAAAAAAAAAGACUCUUUGUUCCAGAAUAAAGAAACUUCUAUACCGGUGAAAACUGAGGUGACGUGGAACAUUUCUCUGCUCUUCAUCAACAGUCUUAACAGUUCUAGCCUAUGAACCAUGGCUGCUAAUGUGGAAUACAGAUACAACACAAUACCUAUAAGCCGAUAUGCAAAAACCUAAAAACGUAGGAUACAGAUAUGGCCAAGAUACAUUUCUAAAGUUGUCUUAAAAUCUUAGGGUCAUAUCAAGUUGGAUGGAUCAGGUGUCGGAGUGCUUCGGGAGUGCUGUGCGACCUCAAGACACCCGCAAAUGAAGGAAAAUUUCCCACGUACGUAGUGUUGGGCUACUAAGAAACAACAUGCAAGUAAGACCAGUGUGGUGAAAUGAGAAUGUUGAAACAGAUGUGUUGUAAUGCUUUGCGAAAUAAAAUUAGAAACGAAAACCUUUGAAAGGCGAUAGUUAAGAGAUAACAUGAGAGAACAUAGAUUAAGGUGGUUUGAACAUGUUUGUCAAAGAUCAGCCGAUGCAAUAGUUAGGAGUGAUAUGGUUAUAGUAGAGGGUAACACUAAGGGAGUGGCAGACCAAAAUUGUUUUGAAAGGCGAUAGUUCGAUAGGGGAUCUAGGUUUUUCAAAAUAUCAUGUAGCCGGCCUUGAGUGAUUAGGACUAAAAGCUCGAUUUGGUUUGGUUUGAUCAUACAGAAGUUCAAGAACAAAGAUUAACCAAACUAGAAAUUAGGAAUAUGCCAUAAGCCAGUCUACAUGCAACAUAAUAAGGAUUCAUCAUUUGGACAAAUUAUAAAAAAGUAGAAUAUUGCUUUGAUCUUACUGUUUUCUCCUUCAAUAAAAAGCAACCAAAAUAUUAGUAAAUUACCAACAAGGGCUAACCUGACAACCAUUUAACACUGUCUACUGAGAGGUAAGCGGGUCAAAACGUGUCAAAAGGCAAUAAUUAUUUGUUAGUUUUCCUGUAUAAGAGUCUUCCAUUGUUAGUUUAUUUCUUCCCCGUAUGGAGUUACAUCUUUGGUGGUGGUAUAUUGAGAUUGAUUUAGUUAAUCCAGACCUUACUCUCUAGUACAGGUAUUAGAAUCUCAAAUUCUCAAUUUCCUAAAUGUUUGGAUGUCGAACAUAGAGUAUCUGAAAAGCAUCUGAUACUUCCUAAAUGGGAAUAAAUAGUAAAUACUGACGACAUUCUUAGCAUCUGAUAAUUAAAAAAAAAUGAUAGUAAUCUCAACUAUCGGAUAUUUAUAUGAAGUAUCAGAUACGUACGUAUCUUAGUUGCACAAAGCGGGAGUGGGGGAGCAGAGGAAUAUAGAAGCUCCCAAAGUCGAGAGCAUGAACAGAGCGUGUACAUAUAUUACGGAAAUAAUGCAACAUAGAGUAUUCACUUUAAAAGUACAAUCAAUUUAGGAAGUAAAAAUAUGGGCCAAGUCCACCAUAAGCUACAAUUCGCACGGACACGUCUACCGACCUCACGUAUCCAUGUCUGACACAUUUUGGUAAUGGACAAGACACUCUCUGGACAUGUGUUGGACAAGCCUAAAUACUGCUCCAUUUUUUUAAUUUUAUUUCUUUACUCAGACACAUUGUGAGUACUCUAGGUCGCGUUAGCGACACUCUUGGAACAUGCUAAGGACAUCAAAAGGUUAAAAUGUAAUUUUUAAAACUCGGACCAGGUCAGCAGAGUGAAAAUUUGCACAAGUUUAUAGGUCACGUAUACUUAAUUACUUAUAUGUGGUGUUGACGUGUAUCUUCAUAGUGUUGUUCUUAAUUUGAUAGAAAUAAUGUUUUCAACUUUUAUAUGAAUUCAUAAAAUACCUCUAUAAUACAAAUACAUUUUAUAUUCAACGUGUUCGUGUCCUAAUUUUCGAUAAAAAUGACGUGUGCAUGUGUAUGAGUCGUGUCGUGUCCAUAACUUGUAUCUAUGUCCAUGCUUCUUAGAUCAUAAGUGUAAGAAAUGGGCUUGUUUACAAUCCAUAGUUUCCUUUACAUGACAUCCCGAUUGGGUUGUAUAUAUGAGUUCAUCAAAGACCAAUUAAUAAAGCCGA